AUACUCGAUCCUGAUUUUUUUGUAAAGUCAGUGGAGUAAUAUUUUACAGUCAAAUGUGUCAAAAGAUACCUUGAAAUCUAACAGCAUCAACAGGGUGAUGUUGAACAUACUUACUGGAGUAAGUAUGUAGUUUGCUAUUUUAAGCAAAGCAGUCUCAGCACUGGGGUUUACUGUAAAGCCAGACUGAAAAUAAAUUUUCACAAAAAAUUCAUGAAAUCUCAACAAAUUAGCGCAAAGUGAAAAUUAGGCUCAAUCGUGCUUCAGACCAGCCCUGUUAAUUUGUACUCUGGCUCAUUUGUUUAGAGAGUCUGGUUUGUUCUGGCAGUUGUAAAUGUGCAAUCAAAAUGUGGAGCGGAUCAAAGAAAUGCACUCUCAUCCACCUACAAGCAUAAGUCUUGGCCACCUUAAAGUGAACCAAGUGCAGGAAGUAGACUGCAAUGCAUGGCAUUGUGGGUAAACACAGCCAAAACAAAUGUUUUUGUAGCAAGAUAGCUGGGAGAAAUGGCUUGAUGCAAGACUUGGAGUGAGGAUGAGGAAAUGUCAAAGCUGCUGAUUCCCUGUAACUGAUGUUGGGUGUGUAGAUGAAGACUGAAUGCUAACUAAAGACACUCUCCAGAUUUACUGGGUCUUCCUGUAAAUGGGACAGAGCAUCUUUUUUUCUUGGCCCAGCCAGACUUCAUGUGGGCUACAGCAGGACCUCACCAGGUGAAAACAGGAUACAAGGCAUUUCUGACAGACUAUGGACUCGAGUCUUCAUCGAUUGAAGGUGGAGUCACUAUGGUUGCCUCUCAAAACAUCGAAUUGACCUGGCUGCAGCUCACCAGUUCAGUGUCAUGACCCCAGUGGCUUCUGUCGCAGCAGGUGCUUUUCCUCAGACGUGUAACUGAGCCACAGUGUUAAGAAUGCACAGGGAUGUGAUACUGUUGUGAGGCAAUAGUAGUACAUGGGCGUAUUUGUGUUGCUGACAGUUUCAUACCCUUCAAAUUCAGCAGACCGUAAUGCAUACUGUUGUCCUGACAAAAAAGAUAUACUGUAUGCUGAGAUUGAAUUUAAGCACAUUUUGCUGUCUGUUAGAGGAUAUGAGACCCAGUUCAGAUGUCCAUCCAUCACCUUACUGCGUGACGUGUGGCACAGGUCUUGUGUGUGAUCCUUUUGAACACGGUAUCAAAUGAACACUAACUUGCAGCUGCGAAGAAUGGGGAGACGUGGUGUGGAGAAACGUGCCAGAGUCAUAAUCUGUUGUUUCACUUAGCAAGAAGAGUUCCCUCCUCAGACUGACCUGUUAGGCCAUUUCGGCAGCUUGUAAACACAACUCAGUCUGCGUGUAAGCUGUCAUUUCAGCUCCAUGCUAUCUGCUUUCUAACACCUUUGAAAAUGGCAGUGACGGCUGAAAAAAAAAAAAUCAACAAUUGGCACUGUGCUGUGCUAUGCUGUGUUGGCAAAAACAAAAGCAACAAGCUGAGAAACAAGAAAUAACUACAGGGGAGUUCUGAAUGAUCCGAAAGGCAGAGUAAACAAGUCCAACUGCACUGA